GCCCUAAUAGCUUAAAUAAAAGCACCGGCCUUGUAAGCCGGAGACUGGAGGUUAAAACCCUCCUUAGCGCC
rnacentral:tRNA from 1 species